GCUCUUUUAGCUUAAGUUAAAGUGCUAGUUUGAAGGGCUAGAGAUACAUUUUUGUAGUGGGCG
rnacentral:tRNA from 1 species